rnacentral:rRNA from 1 species
UACAGGGGGGGCAAGCGUUGUUCGGAAUUACUGGGCGUAAAGGGCUCGUAGGCGGCCGGCUAAGUCCGACGUGAAAUCCCCAGGCUUAACCUGGGAACUGCGUCGGAUACUGGCGGGCUUGAAUCCGGGAGAGGGAUGCGGAAUUCCAGGUGUAGCGGUGAAAUGCGUAGAUAUCUGGAGGAACACCGGUGGCGAAGGCGGCAUCCUGGACCGGCAUUGACGCUGAGGCGCGAAAGCCAGGGGAGCAAACGGGG